UACGGAAGGCAGCAGUGGGGAAUAUUGCACAAUGGGCGCAAGCCUGAUGCAGCCAUGCCGCGUGUAUGAAGAAGGCCUUCGGGUUGUAAAGUACUUUCAGUCGUGAGGAAGGUGUUAAGGUUAAUAACCUUAGCAAUUGACGUUAGCGACAGAAGAAGCACCGGCUAACUCCGUGCCAGCAGCCGCGGUAAUACGGAGGGUGCGAGCGUUAAUCGGAAUUACUGGGCGUAAAGGGCACGCAGGCGGUUAAUUAAGUUGGAUGUGAAAUCCCCGGGCUUAACCUGGGAAUGGCAUUCAAGACUGGUUAGCUAGAGUCUUGUAGAGGGGGUAGAAUUUUCAUGUGUAGCGGUGAAAUGCGUAGAGAUGUGGAGGAAUACCGGUGGCGAAGGCGGCCCCGUGGACAAAGACUGACGCUCAUGUGCGAAAGCGUGGGGAGCAAACGAGGGAUUAGAUACC
rnacentral:rRNA from 1 species